rnacentral:rRNA from 1 species
AUUGAACGCUGGCGGCAUGCCUUACACAUGCCAGUCGAACGGCAACGCGGAGAAGCUUGCUUCUCUGUCGGCGAGUGGCGAACGGGUGAGUAUAGCAUCGGAACGUGCCAAGUAGUGGGGGAUAACCAAACGAAAGUUUGGCUAAUACCGCGUAAGCUCCAAGGAGGAAAGUAGGGGACCUAAAUAAGGCCUUACGCUAUUUGAUCGGCCGAUGUCGGAUUAGCUAGUUGGUGGGGUAAUGGCUCACCAAGGCAAUGAUCCGUAGCGGGUCUGAGAGGACGAUCCGCCACACUGGGACUGAGACACGGCCCAGACUCCUACGGGAGGCAGCAGUGGGGAAUUUUGGACAAUGGGGGAAACCCUGAUCCAGCCAUGCCGCGUGUAUGAAGAAGGCCUUAGGGUUGUAAAGUACUUUUGUUAGGGAAGAAAAGCUAGUUUUUAAUAAAAAUUAGUGAUGACGGUACCUAAAGAAUAAGCACCGGCUAACUACGUG